UACAUGUGGGGCAAGCGUUGUUCGGAAUUACUGGGCAUAAAGGGUGCGUAGGCGGCAUGCCAAGUCAGGGGUGAAAGGUUUCGGCCCAACCGGGACAGUGCCUUUGAUACUGGCGUGCUUGAGUGCGUGAGGGGUGACUGGAACGAGUGGUGUAGCGGUGAAAUGCGUAGAUAUCACUCGGAAGGCCAACGGCGAAGGCAGGUCACUGGUACGCAGCUGACGCUGAGGCACGAAAGCGUGGGGAGCAAACAGG
rnacentral:rRNA from 1 species